CCUACGGGUGGCAGCAGUGGGGAAUAUUGCACAAUGGGGGAAACCCUGAUGCAGCGAUGCCGCGUGAGUGAAGAAGUAAUUCGUUAUGUAAAGCUCUAUCAGCAGGGAAGAAAAUGAUGGUAUCUGAGUAAGAAGCCCCGGCGAACUACGUGACAGCAGCCGCGGUAAUACGUAGGGGGAAAGAGUUAUCCGGAUUUACUGGGUGAAAAGGGAACGUAGACGGCAGUGCAAGUCUGGAGGGAAAGGCGGGGGCUCAACCCGCGGACUGCUCUGGAAACUGUACGGCUUGAGUGCAGGAGAGGUAGGUGGAAUUCCUGGUGUAGCGGUGAAAUGCGUAGAGAUUAGGAGGAACACCAGUGGCGAAGGCGGCUUACUGGACUGUAACUGACGUUGAGGCUCGAAAGCGUGGGGAGCAAACAGGAUUAGAUACCCGAGUAGUC
rnacentral:rRNA from 1 species